AGGAUGAACGCUGGCGGCGUGCUUAACACAUGCAAGUCGAACGAUGAAGCAGAGCUUGCUCUGUGGAUUAGUGGCGAACGGGUGAGUAACACGUGAGUAACCUGCCCUUGACUCUGGAAUAAGCGUUGGAAACGACGUCUAAUACCGGAUACGAGCUUCCGCCGCAUGGUGAGGAGCUGGAAAGAAUUUCGGUCAAGGAUGGACUCGCGGCCUAUCGGGUAGUUGGUGAGGUAAUGGCUCACCAAGCCUACGACGGGUAGCCGGCCUGGAGAGGGUGACCGGCCACACUGGAACUGAGACACGGUCCAGACUCCUACGGGAGGCAGCAGUGGGGAAUAUGCACAAUGGGCGCAAGCCUGAUGCAGCAACGCCGCGUGAGGGACGACGGCCUUCGGUUGUAAACCGUCGUUUUAGUAGGAAGUAAGGGCUUACGGUCUGACGGUACCUGACAGAAAAGCGACGCUAACUACGU
rnacentral:rRNA from 1 species